rnacentral:rRNA from 1 species
AUUGAACGCUGGCGGCAGGCCUAACACAUGCAAGUCGAACGGAAGAACGGUGCUUGCUUGUGGUUUCAGCGGGGGACGGGUGAGUGAUGCCUGGGAAUAUGCCUGGCUGUGGUUUAUAACGUCCUGACGCAGGCGCUAAUACCGCAUACGUGCAGAGGGAGAAAGGGGGUGAGCAUCGGAUCUCACGCCAUCAGGUGAGCGUACGAGCCUAGGUCGAGUUAGUUGGUUGGGGGGGUAAAGGCCCACCAAGGCGACGAUCCGUAGCUGGUCUGAGAGGAUGAUCAGCCACACUGGAACUGAGACACGGUCCAGACUCCUACGGGAGGCAGCAGUGGGGAAUAUUGGACAAUGGGCGAAAGCCUGAUCCAGCCAUGCCGCGUGUGUGAAGAAGGCCUUCGGAUUGUAAAGCCCUUUUGGUUGGGAGGAAGGGCAGUAAGUUAAUACCUUGCUGUUUUGACGGUACCCACAGAAUAAGCACCGGCUAACUUCGUG